rnacentral:rRNA from 1 species
UACGGAGGGGGCUAGCGUUGUUCGGAAUUACUGGGCGUAAAGCGCACGUAGGCGGCUUUGUAAGUUAGAGGUGAAAGCCCGGGGCUCAACUCCGGAAUUGCCUUUAAGACUGCAUCGCUAGAAUUGUGGAGAGGUAAGUGGAAUUUCCGGUGUAGCGGUGAAAUGCGUAGAUAUCGGAAGGAACAUCAGUGGCGAAAGCGACUUCCUGGACCAAUACUGACGCUCAUGUGCGAAAGCGUGGGGAGCAAACAGG